ensembl:misc_RNA Metazoa_SRP Metazoan signal recognition particle RNA
GUCAGAUGCAGUGGCCCACACCUGUAGUCUCAGCUACUCAGAAGAUUGCGGUGAGAGGAUUACUUGAGCCCAAAAUUUCUGGGCUGUAGUGCGCUAUGCCUAGGGGUGUCCAUGCUAAGUUCAGUGUAAGUUUGAUGACUCAUGGGAGCUGGAGAUUGCCAGGUCGCCUAAGGAGGGGUGGCCGAGGUCAGUAAUGGAGCAGGUCAAAACUCCCAUGCCUGUAAAUAGCCACUGCACUCCAGCCUGGGCAACAUAAUGAGACUCCAUGUCU